rnacentral:rRNA from 1 species
GAGCUCGUUGAUGAGUGACGGCGUGCCUUUUGCAUAAUGAACCUACGAGUUGCCUUUGCCGGCAAGGUUAAGUGUGACGACACACGUAUCCGAAGCGAAAGCGAGUCUGAAGAGGGCGUAUAGUCGGCAGUGGCAGACGCGAAACCAAGUGAUCUACCCUUGGCCAGGUUGAAGGCUGGGUAACACCAGCUGGAGGACCGCACCAAUAAGCGUUGAAAAGCUUCUGGAUGAGCUGAGGGUAGGGGUGAAAGGCUAAUCAAACUUGGAGAUA